GGUUUGAUUCUGGCUCAGAUUGAACCGCUGGCGGGAUGCUACAUGCAAGUCGAACGGCAGCACGGACUUUUGGCCCUGGUGGCGAGUGGCGAACGGGUGAGUAAUGUAUCGGAACGCCUAGUAGCGGGGGAUAACUACGCGAAAAGCGUAUUAAUACCGCAUACGCCCCUUCGGGGGAAAGCGGGGGACCUUCGGGCCUCGCACUAUUAGAGCGGCCGAUAUCGGAUUAGCUAGUUGCGGGGUAACGGCUCACCGCGACGAUCCGUAGCGACAUUUGAGAGGACGACCAGCCACACUGGGACUGAGACACGGCCCAGACUAGAUGGAGGCAGCAGUGGGGAAUUUUGGACAAUGGGGAAACCCCGAUCCAGCCAUCCCGGGCAAGAUGGAAGGCCUUCGGCGUUGUAAAGCACUUUUGGCAGGAAAGAAACGGCACGGGAUACCUGCAACCGACGGGUACCUGCAGAAUAAGCACCGGCUAACUACGUGCCAGCAGCCGCGGUAAUACGUAGGGUGCAAGCGUUAAUCGGAAUUACUGGGCGCAAAAGCGCGUGCGCAGGCGGUUCGGAAAGAAAGAUGUGAAAUCCCAGAGCUUAACUUUGGAACUGCAUUUUUAACUACCGAGCUGAGGAAGGAGGAGGUGGAAUUCGCGUAGCAGUGAAAUGCGUAGAUAUGCGAUGGAACACCGAUGGCGAAGGCAGCCUCCUGGGAUAACACUGACGCCAUAUGCACGAAAGCGUGGGGAGCAAACAGGAUUAGAUACCUGGUAGUCCACGCCCUAAACGAUGUCAACUAGCUGUUGGGGCCUUCGGGCCUGGUAGCGCAGCUAACGCGUGAAGUUGACCGCCUGGGGAGUACGGUCGGAAGAUUAAAACCUAAAGGAAUUGACGGGACCCGCACAAGCGGUGGAUGAUAAGAUUAACUGAUGCGAAACGCGAAAAACCUUACCUACCCUUGACAUGUCUGGAAUCCCGAAGAGAUUUGGAGGUGCCUGCAAGAGAACCGAACACAGGUGCUGCAUGGCUGUCGUCAGCUCGUGUCGUGAGAUGUUGGGUUAAGUCCCGCAACGAGCGCAACCCUUGUCAUUAGUUGCUACGAAAGGGCACUCUAAUGAGACUGCCGGUGACAAACCGAGGAAGGUGGGGAUGACGUCAAGUCCUCAUGGCCUUUAUGGUAGGCUUCACGUCAUACAAUGGUCGGGACAGAGGGCCAAUCCGCGAGGGGGGAGCCAAUCCCAGAAACCCAUCAGAGUCCGAUCGGGUAGCUUGCAACGACUGGUGAAGUCGGAACGCGAGACCUUCCGUGGAUCAUGUCGCGGUGAAUACGUUCCCGGGUUUUGUACACACCGCCCGUCGCUGUACCAUGGGAGUGGGUUUUACCAGAUAGUUAGCCUAACCGUAAGGAGGGCGAUUACCACGGUAGGAUUCAUGACUGGGGUGAAGUCGUAACAAGGUAG
rnacentral:rRNA from 1 species